UACAUAUGUGGCGAGCGUUGUUCGGAAUUACUGGGCUUAAAGAGUUCGUAGGCGGGGUUGUAAGUCGGAUGUGAAAUCCCUCGGCUUACCCGAGGAACUGCAUCCGAUACUGCAACUCUGGAGUCCCUGAGGGGAGGGUGGAAUUCCAGGUGUAGCGGUGAAAUGCGUAGAUAUCUGGGAGAAGGCCAAUGGCGAAGGCAGCCCUCUGGUAGGAGACUGACGCUGAGGAACGAAAGCUAGGGUAUCAAACGGG
rnacentral:rRNA from 1 species